CCAUGGACCAUUCCCACUCAGCUUCUCAAAGCGUUGUGCUGCCUUCAAGAGUGGAGCCGGAACAAAGAAGGAGCAUCUGAAUCCCUCUGUGUUUCAUCACUGAUCUGGGCAUGCUCGUCUCAGACUCCUCUUCUCAGAGAGCGGACCGCUAUGCACCAUCAGAGCGCACCCCUGACCAGAUUGGGGUUAAGUCUGAACUCAUCUUGUAUGUGUGAACUGUCGUGAUGGUAGGGAGUAAGCCUACCUAAUGCAAGGGAUGAAGUAAGAGGAAAUCAAUGCGGCCACUCAGCUCAGGCCUGAUGGCAGGAGGGACUCUAACCACCCACUGCAAGGGAGAGGAGGACAGGAAGCUGGCCUGCUUCAUUCCUUUGCUCAGCAGAUGCGCCUACUGUGUUCUUGGAUUUCAGGUGCUUGAAUGCAUCCUUUCUCAUGGAGCAGUCAUUGCAGCGAAGGGAGACAGAAUAUAAACAAGUAGAUGACACAGUAUGUUAUAAGCUGAUGGGUGAUAUGGAGAAAAAUAGCAGGAAAUGAGAGGAGGAGGAUGGAGGGAUGGAUUUGCAGUUUUCAAUGAGGGAAGGUCUCAUUGAGAUGGCAAUGUUUGAAUGAAGGCUUAAGGACGUGAGGAAGCAAACCCUGUAGAUGGCGAGAGAAGAGUACUGCAGAGAG
rnacentral:lncRNA from 1 species